GAUGAACGCUGGCGGCGUGCUUAACACAUGCAAGUCGAACGGAAAGGCCCAAGCUUGCUUGGUUACUCGAGUGGCGAACGGGUGAGUAACACGUGGGUGAUCUGCCCUGAACUUCGGGAUAAACCUGGGAAACUGGGUCUAAUACCGGGUAGGACCACAUUUUGGGUGGUGUGGUGGAAAGUUUUUCGGUUUUGGUGUAGCUCGCGGCCUAUCCGCUUGUUGGUGGGGUAAUGGCUUACCAAGGCGGCGACGGGUAUCCCGCCUGAUAGGGUGUACGGCCACAUUGGAACUGAGAGACGGCCCAGACUCCUACGGGAGGCAGAAGUGGCGAAUAUUGGACAAUGGGAGCACGCCUGAUGCAGCGACGCCGCGUGGGGGUUGAAGGCCUUCGGGUUGUAAAAUCCUAUCGCUAGGGACGAAGCGUUUUUGUGACGGUACCUGGAGAAGAAGCACCGGCUAACUACGUG
rnacentral:rRNA from 1 species